rnacentral:rRNA from 1 species
GGCCAGACUCCUACGAGAGGCAGCAGUGGGGAAUAUUGCACAAUGGGCGAAAGCCUGAUGCAGCGACGCCGCGUGAGUGAAGAAGUCUUUCGGUAUGUAAAGCUCUAUCAGCAGGGAAGAAAAUGACGGUACCUGACUAAGAAGCCCCGGCUAACUACGUGCCAGCAGCCGCGGUAAUACGUAGGGGGCAAGCGUUAUCCGGAUUUACUGGGUGUAAAGGGAGUGUAGGUGGCAUAACAAGUCAGAAGUGAAAGCCCGGGGCUCAACCGCGGGACUGCAUUUGGAACUGUGUGGCUGGAGUGUCGGAGAGGCAAGUGGAAUUCCUAGUGUAGCGGUGAAAUGCGUAGAUAUUAGGAGGAACACCAGUGGCGAAGGCGGCUUGCUGGACGAUGACUGACGUUGAGGCUCGAAAGCGUGGGGAGCAAACAGGAUUAGAUACCCCCGUAA